rnacentral:rRNA from 1 species
CAGCCGCCACGGUAAUACGGAGGGAGCUAGCGUUGUUCGGAAUUACUGGGCGUAAAGCGCGCGUAGGCGGUUACUCAAGUCAGAGGUGAAAGCCCGGGGCCCAACCCCGGAACUGCCUUUGAAACUAGGUGACUAGAAUCUUGGAGAGGUCAGUGGAAUUCCGAGUGUAGAGGUGAAAUUCGUAGAUAUUCGGAAGAACACCAGUGGCGAAGGCGACUGACUGGACAAGUAUUGACGCUGAGGUGCGAAAGCGUGGGGAGCAAACAGGAUUAGAUACCCGCGUAGUCCCUGUCUCUUAUAA